rnacentral:rRNA from 1 species
GACGUAGGGCGCGAGCGUUGUCCGGAUUUAUUGGGCGUAAAGAGCUCGUAGGCGGCUCAUCGCGUCAACCGUGAAAACCAGCAGCUCAACUGUUGGCUUGCGGUUGAUACGGGUGGGCUGGAGUUCGGUAGGGGAGACUGGAAUUCCUGGUGUAGCGGUGAAAUGCGCAGAUAUCAGGAGGAACACCGGUGGCGAAGGCGGGGUCUCUGGGCCGAUACUGACGCUGGAGGAGCGAAAAGCCGUGGGGAGCGAACAGG